AUGCAAGUCGAACGAUGAUUAUCUAGCUUGCUAGAUAUGAUUAGUGGCGGACGGGUGAGUAACAUUUAGGAAUCUGCCUAGUAGUGGGGGAUAGCUCGGGGAAACUCGAAUUAAUACCGCAUACGACCUACGGGUGAAAGGGGGCGCAAGCUCUUGCUAUUAGAUGAGCCUAAAUCAGAUUAGCUAGUUGGUGGGGUAAAGGCCYACCAAGGCGACGAUCUGUAACUGGUCUGAGAGGAUGAUCAGUCACACCGGAACUGAGACACGGUCCGGACUCCUACGGGAGGCAGCAGUGGGGAAUAUUGGACAAUGGGGGCAACCCUGAUCCAGCCAUGCCGCGUGUGUGAAGAAGGCCUUUUGGUUGUAAAGCACUUUAAGCAGGGAGGAGAGGCUAAUGGUUAAUACCCAUUAGAUUAGACGUUACCUGCAGAAUAAGCACCGGCUAACUCUGUGCCAGCAGCCGCGGUAAUACAGAGGGUGCGAGCGUUAAUCGGAAUUACUGGGCGUAAAGCGAGUGUAGGUGGCUCAUUAAGUCACAUGUGAAAUCCCCGGGCUUAACCUGGGAACUGCAUGUGAUACUGGUGGUGCUAGAAUAUGUGAGAGGGAAGUAGAAUUCCAGGUGUAGCGGUGAAAUGCGUAGAGAUCUGGAGGAAUACCGAUGGCGAAGGCAGCUUCCUGGCAUAAUAUUGACACUGAGAUUCGAAAGCGUGGGUAGCAAACAGGAUUAGAUACCCUGGUAGUCCACGCCGUAAACGAUGUCUACUAGCCGUUGGGGUCCUUGAGACUUUAGUGGCGCAGUUAACGCGAUAAGUAGACCGCCUGGGGAGUACGGCCGCAAGGUUAAAACUCAAAUGAAUUGACGGGGGCCCGCACAAGCGGUGGAGCAUGUGGUUUAAUUCGAUGCAACGCGAAGAACCUUACCUGGUCUUGACAUAGUGAGAAUCCUGCAGAGAUGCGGGAGUGCCUUCGGGAAUUCACAUACAGGUGCUGCAUGGCUGUCGUCAGCUCGUGUCGUGAGAUGUUGGGUUAAGUCCCGCAACGAGCGCAACCCUUUUCCUUAUUUGCCAGCGGGUUAAGCCGGGAACUUUAAGGAUCUGCCNUGACAACUGGAGGAAGGCGGGGACGACGUCAGUCAUCAUGGCCCUUACGACAGGGCUAC
rnacentral:rRNA from 1 species